AGCAAAAUAUGCCACCUCUCACUGAUGUGUCCAGGUCAACAUUUUAAGUAUGGUAUUGCUGCAAGACAGUUCUCCUCAGUGGGAGAAAACAUGGCAUGGCCAAGCUUUGAUCAAGUGCGCAGCUAUCAGGCAAGCACACAACAAAAUCUCCACUGGCAAAAGAAGAAAAACAGCAGCUCUUGGAUUUUCAUUGCCUGAUUUGCAGAGGGUCUGAGCUUUCUGUUAUUGUACUGUAAUGCUCAAUAAGAGAAAAUCUCAGAACUCUGCUCUGGCGCAACCUUGUUCUCAAAGGAAAGAAACCGUUAAAUAUUGAAAGAUGUUCUCAGAUUUGUUUUUUUGUUUGCUGUUUUAUAGUUAUAUUAUUUUCAUGUAAUAUUUUUGAAGGUUGCAUGUUUUUUUAUUGCCUCCCUUAUAUAUUCCAGGGAUUACCUGUCUAGUAAUCUUACUAGUCUGAAACCAGUACCUGGUGCGUUAUUCUACUAGCUAAAAAAUGGAAAAAAAAAAAAAAAAUAAGGAUGACCUGCUGGCCCAGAGCUGGUGUCCAUUUCAUGAGCUUGUUUGCUUUUCUAUUAGCUGUUGUAGACAGUUUCAUCGGGCGCACACGCCUGGCCCGAAGUUAACUUCCGGUCUGUGUUUGUUUAUCAGUCUGGCUAUGGCGCCGUCUACAAACAAGGUGAUGAG
ensembl:lncRNA